rnacentral:rRNA from 1 species
GAGGAAUAUUGGUCAAUGGACGGAAGUCUGAACCAGCCAAGUAGCGUGCAGGAUGACGGCCCUAUGGGUUGUAAACUGCUUUUGUAUGGGGAUAAAGUUAGGGACGUGUCCCUAUUUGCAGGUACCAUACGAAUAAGGACCGGCUAAUUCCGUGCCAGCAGCCGCGGUAAUACGGAAGGUCCAGGCGUUAUCCGGAUUUAUCGGGUUUAAAGGGAGCGUAGGCUGGAGAUUAAGUGUGUUGUGAAAUGUAGACGCUCAACGUCUGAAUUGCAGCGCAUACUGGUUUCCUUGAGUACGCACAACGUUGGCGGAAUUCGUCGUGUAGCGGUGAAAUGCUUAGAUAUGACGAAGAACUCCGAUUGCGAAGGCAGCUGACGGGAGCGCAACUGACGCUUAAGCUCGAAGGUGCGGGUAUCAAACAGGAUUAGAUACCCUGGUAGUCCGCACAGUAGACGAUGGAUGCCCGCUGUUGGUACCUGGUAUCAGCGGCUAAGCGAAAGCAUUAAGCAUCCCACCUGGGGAGUACGCCGGCAACGGUG